AUACGUAGGGAGCGAGCGUUGUCCGGAAUUACUGGGUGUAAAGGGUGCGUAGGCGGGAUGGCAAGUCAGAUGUGAAAUGCCGGGGCUCAACCCCGGAGCUGCAUUUGAAACUGUCGUUCUUGAGUGAGGUAGAGGUAAGCGGAAUUCCUAGUGUAGCGGUGAAAUGCGUAGAUAUUAGGAGGAACAUCGGUGGCGAAGGCGGCUUACUGGGCCUUUACUGACGCUGAGGCACGAAAGCGUGGGGAGCAAACAGGAUUAGAUACCCUGGUAGUCCACGCUGUAAACGAUGAUGGCUAACCGCUGGGCUUAUCAGUUCAGUGGCCAAGCGAAAGCGAUAAGCCAUCCACCUGGGGAGUACGACCGCAAGGUUGAAACUCAAAUGAAUUGACGGGG
rnacentral:rRNA from 1 species